rnacentral:rRNA from 1 species
AUUUUAGACUAUGGGGGGAACCCUAACCCAACCCACCCCCGGGUCAGGUGAAAGGCUGCGGGUUUUGAAGUACUUUUCGCCAAGCGGGAAAGGUGCCUCCUAAAUACAGAUUCUGGUGACGGUGACCUCAGAAUCAGAAUCGGCACACUACGUGUCAGCCGCCGCGGUAAUACGUAGGGUGCAAGCGUUAAUCGGAAUUACUGGGCGUAAAGCGUGUGUAGGCGGUUCGGAAAGUAAGAUGUGAAAUCCCAGGGCUCAACCUUGGAACUGCAUUUGUAACUGCGGAGCUAGAGUAUGUCAGAGGGUGGUAGAAUUCCACGUGUAGCAGUGAAAUGCGUAGAUAUGUGGAGGAAUACCGAUGGCGAAGGCAGCCCCCUGGGAUAAUACUGACGCUCAGACACGAAAGCGUGGGGAGCAAACAG